rnacentral:lncRNA from 1 species
UUGUACAUAAUACUCCGAACUUUGCAAAUACUCAAAACAUCUCGUUUGGGGCAAAAUCCACCAUGAACUUGGUUGAUAAGACUACGCCAAUCUUGAAGGUCGCUAUCACCAAGCUUUCUCUAUUGCCAACUGCAAAAAAAAAAAACAGAUUUGAGAAUUUACUUGCUUGCAUCAAAGUAAAUAAAAAAAAAUAGUGAAUGGUAAUAAAUUGGAAGAAACACAGUGGCUCUCGUCUAGCUGAUUGAUUCAAAAAAAUUUGGGCCUAAUUGUUUUUUUGUGCUUCACUUAUAGAAAUGGAUUUGAUGUCUAAAGUAACUUAAAAAUUGGGCCUGAACUAUGAAUAGAAGGUUGACAAAAUGGGCCCACUGAGGGAUUAGACUCUUUUCUCUCUGCACCUCUCAAAACAUACGGCAAAUUCUUCUUCCUUUCAAAUAUCGCCGCCUGCCUCAGACUUUAGCCGGAUUACGCCUCUCCACCAUCGCAGAUGCCGGAGAUCCCACCGUCCAGCCAUUCGUUCUGGAGAAUAACUGGCCAUGGUGGCGCAUCCUAUCAUGGAAGUAUUGAAGCCCCUCGUAGAUGCAAUUCUCCCACUCAAAAAUAAAAUCACCGCCGCUACUGCCUUGGCUAACCGCCGCGCAGACGCCUUGGUUCACUGAUGGUGCUGGAGUAUUCAUGUCGCCUCUGCCCAAACCCGCCGCUGACCACCUUUGUCGACAGCAAGAGUUUCAGCAGCAGCGCUGCUCUCUUCCGCUCAACAACCUCUCCAAAACGAAAUCGCCAACUCUGAAAAUGGUGAGGCGAACACCGUCAUCGGCUUCGGAGUCUCCACGUUAAAUCGUCGCCAUCAACUGCAAGACCUUACGUUGCCGCAGCUGCUGCCUCGGUUAAACGUCGCAUCGACCCUUGGCUCACCAUCAGUGCUAGAGUAUUCAGGCCGCCGCGCCAUUACUCGAUGCUGCUGCUUUGAAAUCAAUAAGGACUACCGUUUAAACACCAUCUCUUUCUCUCUCUGGAAGUCGCCGCUUCGUGUAGCCAUCGCCACCGAACUUUGCCACGUCUCGCCGGAGAAUAUGUCGCAAAAAAGGGCAGCAAUAAGGAGCCACUCACACCACCGUUUCUCUCCACGCUCGACGCGAUCAAAAAAAAANAAAAAAAACUUCCUCACCAAGGACAACCCCAACUCAACCUCCAUUUGCUGCACAACCUUCCCCGCAGCAGCAGAUAACAACAAUCCCCACUCCCUUUUCAUUAAAUGAAAGGCACACCAGAGCUCACCUCUCUCUCUCUAUAUCUACCUGUGCCACUCUUUCUCUCUCUCUCACACACACUCGACAAUGGCGACUGCACAGCUCCCAGCAAUGGUGCUGCUCCUCGUCGUCCUCGUCUCCGCCGCCAGCGGCGCAGAUCUCUCCAGCGACCGCGCCGCCCUCUUAGCCCUCCGGUCGGCGGUGGGGGGGGCGCACCCUCUUCUGGAACACCACCGCCAGCAGCCCAUGCAACUGGGCCGGCGUCCUCUGCGAAGACAACCGCGUCACUGCCCUCCACCGCGCCGCCGCCUCCGCAACCGCGUGAAAAUCCUGGAAGAAAAGGAGAGAAACCUGGAGCUGCAGCUGCUGGAAUACUACGGCAUCAAGGAGCAAGAAACCGCAGUGAUCGAGCUCCAAAACCGCCUCCGCUUGAACACCAUGGAGGCCAAGCUCUACAACCUCAAGAUCGAGUCCCUGCUCUUGGAUAACAGACGCCUCGAAGCUCAGGCCGCCGACCACGCCAACGCCAGCGCCGAGCUCGAGGCCGCCNNNNN